UACAGGGGGUGCAAACGUUGCUCGGAAUUAUUGGGCGUAAAGAGCUCGUAGGCGGUGUGUCGCGUCGGCCGUGAAAACCUGCAGCUUAACUGUGGGCUUGCGGUCGAUACGGGCAUCACUGGAGUUCGGCAGGGGAGACUGGAAUUCCUGGUGUAGCGGUGAAAUGCGUAGAUAUCGGUAGGAACACCAGUGGCGAAGGCGGUCUCCUGGGGCAUUCUUGACGCCGAGGCGCGAAAGCUGGGGGAGCAAACGGG
rnacentral:rRNA from 1 species